rnacentral:rRNA from 1 species
GGAUUAGAUACCCUGGUAGUCCACGCCGUAAACGAUGAGUAUUUGGUGCUGGGGGAUUCGACCCUUUCAGUGCCGUAGCUAACGCGAUAAAUACUCCGCCUGGGGACUACGAUCGCAAGAUUGAGACUCAAAGGAAUUGACGGGGACCCGCACAAGCGGUGGAGCAUGUGGUUUAAUUCGAUGAUACGCGAGGAACCUUACCAAGGCUUAAAUGUAGUUUGACCGAUUUGGAAACAGAUCUUUCGCAAGACAAAUUACAAGGUGCUGCAUGGUUGUCGUCAGCUCGUGCCG